UAACAGCCUAAGCGGUGGGCCUCCCGAGUGGCGCAGCAUUUAAGGCACUGCAUCGCAGUGCAGGGAGGCAUCACUACAGACACGGGUUCUCCCAGCCGCAACCGGGAGACCAAUGAGGCGGUGCACAAUUGGCCCAGCGUCGUCUGGGUUAGGGGAGGGUCUGGCCAGCUUGGACGUCCUUGUCCCAUCUUGCGACUCCGGUGGCAGGCCGGGUGCUUGCACGCCAGUUGUACCACCUUCCCUCUGACACAUUGGUGCCGCUGUCUUCCGGGUUAAGCGAGCAGUGUGGCUUGGCAGGGUCGUGUUUCGGAGGACGCAUGGCUCUCAAGCUUUGCCUCUCCCGAGUUCGCAUGGGAGUUGCAGCAAUGGGACAAAACUAACUACCAAUUUGAUAUCACGAAAUUGGGGAACAGAAAAGAAAAGCGGGAUGUCUUCAUUGAGAAACCUGAAAUCUUUAAUUAUACUACAGCACUACUGUAGUAUACACACUACUGUGUAUUCCCCAGCGAGAACCAAAAAUGUCACUCAAACAGAAGGGGAAACUAACAAGUGUCGUGGAAUAUUCUAAUCAAGUGAGAGAUGUAAAGAAUUGCUAUUAUGCAGGAGACCAAUCUACUGCUAAAUACGUGGCUAUUGCAUUGUUAUAACUGAGACAGCACAUAGCAACGUAUUUUCACAGUAAAGCCUGUGGGGUCCCCUACAGGAUAGCUCCCACAUUACACACAUAAUCUCCCUUUUAAACAAACACUGUGUGCCCGAAGAAGAUUCUACGAUGACGGACAGACAACUGAGCCAAUGGCAGAAGACUACAGACUACAACCAGCUGAACCAAUCUGGAGAUCCGAUCUUCCUAGAGUCAACCUACUUUCUGUGACGUAUAUAAGGGCUGUGCUGACUGUUUACGCGCUCUCUGCCUGCUGUUCCAACACGAACUAACGGAAGAGCCGUAUUUACGUGUACCAGAUAUUCUCCCUCUGAAAUAAACUGUCGCUUGUCGUACAAUUUUAACACCUGGUCUGAAUCGAUCCUUAACCGGCUCACCCUUCUAAUAUCCUUUUAUCAACAAAACAUGGUAGCCAGAGGAUGGUUGAAUAACUGUCCGGUCGAAGUGAGUUGAUUGGGUGUGAGAAGGAGAGUGACGGAAGGACGGUUCCAAAAAAGAGACGGGUGAAAGAAAUUCAGGGGAGGACAAUAAUUCUGCUCAACUCGGGAAACUGAUCUAAAAGGUGCACCAUAAACAAGGUAAGCAAAACCUGUUAAAUCAAACUUUGCAUAUUGUCGUAUAGUCUGUCUAAAUUCUGAUCAGUAUUUCCGAGUAAGUAUGAAUUCUUGUGUAAAUUUAUAAUUUGCUGACGAGUCAAAGAACAGUAGAGUGAACAUAUGUGGUACAAACCGGCGACGGCCGGGUGAUUAAAUCAUUGAUGAGAUAUCAGUAAGGGGAUAGCUGAUUACUAUUCAUUAAAUCUGGCGCCGAGGGGAUAAAUUGUAAUUUUGUCCCGUGACCCGGUCAGCGCAGUCUGAUAGCUUUCAAUGAUGAGGGAUCACUUUUGAGGCCUGUUGUUCCGAUAGGGGUUAAAGAUAAUUCUGAUAGGGAUCGAACAUGUGUAAUUAUUAGUUUCGAUAGGGGUCAGAGAUAAUUUUAAUAGGGGUCGGACAUGUGUAUAAUUCUGAUAGGGAUCAGCACGAUAGAGAUUAGGGAUAGAUAUCAGUAAGGGGAUAGCUAAUUGCUAUUCAUUAAACCUGGCGCCGAGGUUGUCCCGCGACUCGGUCGAAGUCCAGUCUGAUAAGAGGUCCAAUGAUAAAGAUAAGCUGAUAGGGGUCAGAGAGAUAACGUGUAUUUGUAACUGUUCAUAUUAAAAUGUAAUGUGGUUGUAAUCGUCUCCAUUAAGAUUGUUGAUGGUUUGAGAGACAGAGAGAGAGAGAGAGAGAGAGAGAACUCAAGAAGGGUUAUUGAAUAAAUCCGAAAAUUCUGUGUUGUAUGUAAACUUCCAUGUUGUAUGUAUCUAUAACUUCUGUGUAAAAUGUAUAAUCAGGAACAAAAUGACUGAUGUAUAAUUGAAAUAAGAUCUGAAUAUAAUAUUUAAUAUUGCGACUAUAUAGUCGAAUAGAUCCCUUGGUUGCGCGCUCCACGAAAGCUAUACCAACCCAAUCGUUUUUCUCGAACUGAAUAUACAAGGAAAAGCUCUGAGAUAAGGCAGAGUGUGAGCAAUAGUGUCUCCUCGAAUACAUCGUUGUUAUUAACUAACGACGGGCUAAGUAUAUUCUAAUUAUAUUCAAGUAGUCUGGUAAAAUUCCGAUUAAGUUACGAUUAAUUUCCGAUUGAAUUCAAUUGAAUCACGAUUAAAAAUUCACAAUGGCGACCCCCAAUACUCCAAAGCUGAAGUUUAAUGAGUUCCUAGAAAAAAAAAUGGAAUAUAGAUCAGGGGGAAAGGGACAGUGGAAGGAUAUAAAGAAAGUCUGGGAGGGAGUAAAGUUAAGAUGGACGCAAGCAGGUUACCUAGGAGGGGGACUGCCAACCGGGGUCCAGUUGAAAACAAUGGAAUGUGGGUUAAGAGAGAAAGAGGCAGAAAAGAACAAAAUUCACGUAUUUAAGAAAUAAGGGUCAGAUACGAAGGGAGCGAGAUUAAUGAGAAUCCUAAUUGAGGGAAAACUUUGGGCGUUUAAAUUAGUGCUAUUUUCUGUUGUUCAGAUGCUGGAGUAACAAAUACAGAUAACUGUAAAUUGGGUCUAUUUGCGGAGAAUCUCAGUUCCAUAGCAUUGGUGGUUCAGUGGUGGAGUUCUCGCCUGCCACGUGGGAGGCCAGGGUUCGGUUCCCAGCUGAGGUGUAAAGAGUAGUUAUAUAUGACUGAGUUUUUGGUUUUAAUUAAACUAAUUGUUUUGCAGAGAAAGUUAUAGUCACUAGUAUUGGUAUAAGAUAUAAACUGAACGUUUUAAAUAGUUUGUUUGGUUCAAAUUGAAAGACUAAUUCAUUCAACUUAAUAUAAGAACGGAGAUUUUGAUGCAAGGCGAUGUCUGUUCACUAAAUGAUUUGUUGGGAAUAAUACAUUGGGAAAAGAGUCGUAAUUAAAAAUGCUAAUUCAAAGACGAGACAGUAACUUAAAUCAAAUUCAUUCUGAAUAAUAACGGGGGAACAAUUACGAUAGAUUUGUGUCCAUCGAAAUGUUUUUAUAAGAUUAGCGAAUUGAGAGAUGUUGAUUGAUGUUGUAAACUCUAAUUCAGGAUUCAACAGAUGUGAUAAAUUAGGUUUGGUUUAUCGAACCCGAAAUACUGUUGUUGCAGACAGCCAACCAUUAUUUACAAUGAGUUGAAAAUCGUUGCGAAAUGAGUCAAGAUUGAGCGCUUGUUGAUGACAUCACUUGCGAGGUUUCCGUCGCCACGGAAAUAAUGUCUUGACUGGGGGUGACAGAGAAAAUGGUUAGUGUCCUUUAGAGAAGGAUUUUAUGCAUUACAGGUGAACUACAGGUGAAGUCACUCAAUCCAGUCCCCAGAGGCUUGGGGACCAUAGAAGACCCCUGGUGACAGCUAGCUGAAAGAGCUACCCAGAUUCAUAUCGCACGGCGGAAGGGUAAGACAUUUUUUCACUGUCGGACAAUAAACAGAGUUCGGGAGAAGAACUGGAAUUAACAGAAUUCCGGGGGCCAACUCUCGAAUGAAGUAACCCUACCUGUCCUAUCACCCCUGUUUUUGUUCAUAGAAGUGAAGAUGUGUCUGGCUCUGGCUAAGUGAUGUGUAUUUUGUUCCAAAAUAAGCAUAAGAAAUCCCUAGAUCUGGGUAGACAAGAAGUUAGAGUAGAGAUUACAUGAUAACCGACUUCGGACAGUUCUAGGAUUGGAGAAGAGGGUAUCCUUAUAGCAUGGGGGAUCCCACAAGGGUGGAUAGGUUUUCCAUGAUAUGGGGAAACCUGGGAGCAAUGUUGAACUUUGUAAAGGUGAUGAAAUCCUACUAACCAUCAAAACUAUUAAGCUCUCUGAUGCAGGCACACACACCCUCGGACUACAAAGGACGAGGACAGACAUGAUGGGUGUGUUUUCUAUUAAGGUACUGCCAAGACCAGAGGUAGCCGGACACACUCCUCUACCACCACUGUGUUAAAAAUACCAUUCAGGUAAUUAAUGUUAGAGACUAUUCGGCUAUGGAUCAAUUAGAAACUGAGACUGGUUUUGAUAGUAGGGACAAUUUGUGGCUGUCUUAUGAGGUACACAGCUAAAACCCUGAGAAGAAAGGACUGUAUUAUUUGUAGUUAUGCUAGACCUGUUCUGGCUACACACCCAUUUGCAGUAGGAGAAGGAGAGGGGUGGUUGUGUAUUCUGAGAAGUUUUUACCAGGUUAAGCCCAAUUCAACCCUCUGUUCCUCUUUGAGCCUUGUGUUUCCUGCAGUACCUCCUCAUCGGGCCUCUUGGGGUGUUGAGGCAUAUGGGGGCAAUUACGAGUGCAUCACGGGUACAGGUAAUGGCAUUGAUUAUGGGAGAUUGCCUGAAGCUGAUUGCAGGAGUAACAUAACCAUUAAUUCCACUUGGCCAGUUACAGGCCUAAACCAAACUAGUGGUCUGGCUGAUGUAUGUUGGAUGAGUGGAGCAAAAAGAGUGCUGAGACCCAUUCUUAGAGGAGAAUGGCAAGGUACGUGUGGUCUGACCAGUUUGAUAAUUCCACUGACCAUUGUUGAUGUUGUUGCUGAACAGCUGCUGAGUUCUGUAACCAGGGGACCUGAAAACAUUCCAUCCCAUGGGAGACAUAGAUGUAGUAGUGCUCCAUGGAGAGGAUGUAGUUGACAUACACACUAACCUGUUGGGAGUGCCAGUGGGGAUUCCUCAUGAGUUUCAGGCCUUGGGUAGGAAUGAUGGACUCUGGCACUUACUACCUACUAUGGGUCCAGCCAUGGUGGAUGCUAGACAGACUGCAUGGAUUAAUUAUAUCUACUAUAAUCAACAGCGUUUUGUGAAUUACUCCCGUGAUGCACUCACUAGUAUGUCUGAACAGCUUGAGGCCACAUUUGGGGUUUCCAGACAGAAUAGACUUGCCUUGAAUAUACUUCUUGCCAGUCAGGGGACGUCUGCAAGAUGUUCGGUAAACAAUGUUGCACAUAUAUUCCUAAUAAUACCAGUCCAGAUGAUAGUUUUUAAACUUCACAAUCUAAGGCGGGCUUGAUGCACUGUCUGCUAAGAUGAGGUCCAUGGGGGGGGUGGAGGAGUCUGUUCUCUUGGCCUGGUUUGGUAAGUGCACUGGUAUGAUGGUUACUGGAUUUCUGACCCUAAUUCUUGUAUUAUUUGUUAUUGAUGUGAUGUGCUGCUUGCAUCAUACCGUGUUUUGAGAAGUCUGUUACAGAUGUGGUGAGGGCUUCAGGCAUAUGCCUUUGCUUGAUGCUCCAGUUGGCGAUGCCGAUACGGAAGCAUGCUUUCAGAGGAGGAUGGGACUGACUGAUGAUGACACAUGGUUUGGAGUUCCUGGGUGGCAAGGAGCCCACCUGGUACAGGAUAGGAGUAGCUGAGAGGACCAGAUGGUUUCUAAUAAUUCUUUACUCUGUUUUCCAUGACCAAAGUUUUAUCCUACAUCUUACAUGUCAAUAACAAUAAAGUUUUAUCCUGUUUUUGAUGAGUGACACCCUUGGGGGGAACAAAGGCAUACAACAAAGGCAUAUAUAACUUGUUAUUAGUAAUAAACUUUUUAUUAUUUUCAUGAAAUGCUAUGACUGCUGAAAUAAAGGAUAAUUGAGUGACACCCUAGCAGGAGUCAAAAGGGGGACCUAAAUUUCACACUAUUUUCUUUUGUUCUGUUUUUGAAUGAGCUGUUCUCUUUUGACAUGAAGGUAGUUUAAACUUUGUAACUGUUAUAUGAUUCAUUGCUGAGUUUUUGUUCACACCCUUGGGGUUAUUUUACAUUAUAGCCAUUACCAUAUAUAUGAUUGAAUAUUAUCUGCUGUUGCCUUGUGUGGAUGUAUGUAUGUGUUAUGCUACCUAGCUGAUUUGAAACAUUGUUAAAAGUAUCAGGGCCAUGGAACUUUCUCAUGCUGGAAAAAUACAGAAGGAAGGGCACAUUCAGAGCGUGGGGUUGCGAGAACAAGCGGUCUUUUUGGUUAGAUAACAGGAGCCAGGUGCGAGAUAACGGUAUGGAGCAUGAGACCCAUCUCAGUUUUUGCAGCAAUUUUAGGAGGGGGAUCCAGUUGCUUUUAUUGAUUAAGCUUCUCCAUUGUAUGUCGUGUCCCAUCUGGGAUGGGAAGAGGGGAAAUUAUUUUUCUUUGUGGGCCAUUUCCGGAUAGACAUACCUAGUUUAGGAUAUUUUUCCUUUUUGGAUUAUGUCUUCGUUUUUGCUUGGAGUAAUGUAUCUGGACUAUAUCACAUCUCUUAGGAGAUGUGAAGAGAGGGUAUCACAACUUUUUCCUGCUGGAAAAAGCUGGCUAAUGUGGACAAUAAUUUUUACUUUUAUUUUGAGCUGUUCUCCGCUCUGUUAAAUGAGGGUUGUAAGUUCCUAGGUGGCUGGUAGCCAACUUAGUACAUAGUGGGAUUGAAUGGAGAACAUGAUGGUAAUACAUAAAUAUCUAUUUCUCUUUAAUACCGUGCCUUAUUUCAUAGUCCUUUUGGGAGAAGUUUCUCUUUGUGUCUGGACCUAGUUAGGUUGUGUCACGUCUCUGGUGAGACGUGAAGAGAGGGUUUUGCAAAGAAUUGCUAUUAUGCAGGAGACCAAUCUACUGCUAAAUACGUGGCUAUUGCAUUGUUAUAACUGAGACAGCACAUAGCAACGUAUUUUCACAGUAAAGCCUGUGGGGUCCCCUACAGGAUAGCUCCCACAUUACACACAUAAUCUCCCUUUUAAACAAACACUGUGUGCCCGAAGAAGAUUCUACGAUGACGGACAGACAACUGAGCCAAUGGCAGAAGACUUACAGACUACAACCAGCUGAACCAAUCCGGAGAUCCGAUCUUCCUAGAGUCAACCUACUUUCCGUGACGUAUAUAAGGGCUGUGCUGACUGUUUACGCGCUCUCUGCCUGCUGUUCCAACACGAACUAACGGAAGAGCCGUAUUUACGUGUACCAGAUAUUCUCCCUCUGAAAUAAACUGUCGCUUGUCGUACAAUUUUAA